GAAGAGCUAAUUAGGUGUAUUUGAGUAAGGGUAGUAUAAAAAAUAUCACUAUAAAACCGCGUAUAAAUUAAUUAGAUAUUGUUGCUGGGUAUAUUUAGUUAAUGAACCCUAAAAACGGGUAAAUACGAAGUUUCCCCUAAAUUAUUUUUAAAUUCCCGUAAUUAUGCUUGUUCUGAAGACAGCCCAAUGAAAAGAAUGUGCCUUAAAAUAGUCGAGGCGCAGUUUGGACGUCUUAAAAAGAAUUUAAUGUGCGCCAUUAAAACCUCGUUUUAAAAAAAUUAAAAAUAAAAGGUGACAUUUUAUUGUCUUGAAACUAACCCUAACUAAUUUAUUGCUCUGAGUCGUUCUCUCUCUCUCUCGCGAUCUUGGAAACUAAGCAAACGAUGAGGAUGAACUCUCUCACUCACGGACGAACAGCGCUGGGCUCUACGGACGUCUCUUGCCUCCUUUUCCAUUAUCGCUAGUCUGGGCUUCAACUCGUUGUGGAAUCUGAGAACCCAUUAAAAUCCAGUAUAUAGCUUUUUGAAUGCAAUUAUUUGAAGUGGGAGCAUUACAAUUGGUCCCCUAAAGUUUGAGGGUGUUGAUAAGAAGAGAGUGGUAAUCGUAGGAAGUGGUGUGGUUGCUUCUUUUCUAGCUCUGUCUCAUGUUGUCCACAUCGAUCAUGAUUGGAAUUUGUGGAAAAAAGAAGAAAGCAUGUAGUCUUGGUUGAAAUCAGAAAGAGAGCGAGCAUGGAACAAUGAAACAGAGAGGUUGUUUGUUGCAAGCUGAGACAGCAGUUGUGUAAAGUUCAUUACUUGAAGUGCCUAUAAUAAAUAUUGGGGAUAAAGUAGCAGCUACACUUGGUCACAACAAGAUUGUUGGGGGGGAGGCAUGCUUCUUUGCUUGUAAUUGUAGAUGCUUCAUACAUAACAGUUUUUUUUUUUCGAUAUAUGCUAUCAUUUUUAUUGUGAAAUAUAGGAUUAGAAAUAGUGAAGUACUGAAGUUUAUUAUCUUAUUGAAGUUGAGAAUAUCUUAAUAAUGUAGAGGUUUUAAGGAGCUUAGCAUCAUGUGUCUUUGUAUAAAUUUUUCAUCACGAAAAGAAUUUAGUGUUUAUUAUCAAAUUUGUGUGUGAAUUAUUUAAUUUUUUUAUUGUGAUAUUUUGAUAAGGAAUUUUGAUGUAUAUUAGUCUCUAUUGAAAUUUAAAUUUGAAAAAUAUAGCUGCAUUUAAAAAAAAAAAAAUUAAUUUAAAAAAAAAAAAUUAACUUUUAAGGGCACUCAAUGUGUGUCCCAAUAACAUUGAACUCUUGCUUGUUCAUUCAACGAAAUCUUUAUGGACGUGCAUUGCGCAUCCUAAAAAAAUUAUUUUAGUGCAUGCGACAAGCUCCAAAAAGACACUCAACGAAUUUGACGCGCACUGCUCUCUCUAAAAUCACUCUAAAAUCAUUCUUUUAGGGCAUGCAAUGUGUGCUCGCCCUACAAAACUUCACUUUUUGCGGCUCUGUUAUUGAGGGCGCGCAAUGCGAGUCUUAAAUUUUUUUUUUUUGUAGUGUUGGUUCCUCUUCUGAUAAUGAACAGGCGGGUGAUGUUGAGCUUACCUGCCCAAAAAAAUGAGCAUUAUAAGUUGGAAUGCUCGAGGUUUGGAGUCAUUGGGCAUUCAAACAACUCUCUCUUCUUGUUAGGCAGCACAAGCCAUUUGUUUUAUUUAUUUAUGAAACAAGGCUUAUUAAUGGCUCUGUAAAUAGAUUUAAGAAUAUGGUGCAUUUUGAUAAUGACUUUGAAGUCCUAGAAGGAACCUGGAGGGAGGGUUAAUUUUGUUAUGGGUAGAUGAUGUAAAUAUUAAUAUUUCAUCUAAUUCUCUUAACCAUAUAGAUUGUUAUGUAACUUUUUCAAAUGAUGCUUCAUGAUAUUUGUGUAAAGUCCCAGAAUUUUACUUAGUUAGAUAGUAGUAGUAGUAGUUAUAGUAUAAUAGUUACUGUGGAUUUUGGUUCAAACCGGGACUUAGUUGAACACUCGUAGCAACACCUAUAGAUUUUAUAAGUUUAACCUAUAGUUUAAGAAUAUUAAUUAUAAUAUAAGGUUUGAUUAAUAUAGCUGAUUAUAAAGAUAUCAUUUAUUAUAGUAUAAGGUUUAGAUAGAACUAAUAAGAUCAUGAUACUUGUCGUGUGCAUGUUUAUUAAAGAUUUAAGUAUUUUGAUGAAUAGUUUAAUUAAAAAGAAAGAUCUAGAAGCUCUAGAACCUUUCAGCAACUUUAAAAUCGUAUUAUGACUCAGUCACAGCUGUUUAUCCAAUUCAAAUUAAGCUGAUAAAGUGCAAUUACGUGUCUAAUAUUUCAACGUAUGCCGAUAUAUCGCAGCUAUAGGGGCGAUAUAUCGCCGCACGGGAGAUACGAAAAACAUGUCAACUUCGUACAAUCGAAUUCACGAGCACUCGGGACAUGGGGCCAGACGAUAUAUUGCCUAGGGUGGGCGAUAUAUCGGCCCUAGGACCACUUUCUCAAACGUUGUAGAAACCGAGCUUGAUUCAUCCCUAAUAGUCUCUGAAUGUAUUUGACCGAGUCUUAAGCACCUGUUGAACGAAUAUUCAAAUAUUUUUCAAUUAAUAUUCAGUAUUUUAUUCAAGCUAAAAGAAGAUAUUUUCACACCUUGAACUUUAUAAAUAGGACUAGACCUAGUACCUAGCCAUUUCUCUCAUUCUUCAAGCUGUGUUCAGAGCCUUCAAGUUGUUAGGAUUACUUUAAAGUGAUAAACAUUUUGUGAUUAAAGCUUUAUCAUCUUAAGCUUUAUAAACACUUGAGAAGUGAGAUAUAGAGUGUGUUUUCAAUAUCGAGGUGUAGAUCGGUUCUACUACAUCCAAAUGUAUUCCUAUUCUUAAGUUCAUUUUUGUAUGAACCUUUAGUUUCUUUUAGUUUUCUUUACUCAAAUCCUAACUCAUUGUUUUGGAUUCUUGGUUAUGUAUUUAAGUUAUUUGAACUUAAGGUUUCUUUUCGGUAAGCUUUUUCUUGGUGGUUUAGUUCUCUUCUUUAUCCUCUCUUAUCUUUAGAAAUACUUACCAUUCUUGUUGUUGGUUUUAGGAGCGUUCCAAAUUUUGUCCUUGUUCUCAAAUAUCCCGGUGUUGGAAAAUAGUUAUGACGGCGGAAGGAUUCUUGGUAGCUUGGCUUGUAUAUUAAGGAUGAAUCGAUGGAAUGCGUGACGAUUUGAGGACGGCGUUUUUUUUAGUCUCUUUAAAUUAUGUUUUUAUGUAUUUUUCGCAUUUAGUUUUGUAAACAAUUUCCUUUAGUUUAAAAUUAUAUUUUAUUUUAAAACAAUGGGAUCCCAUACUGCUCAUUUAUAUAUUUCAAUAUUUAUUUUGGAGUUUUUAAUAAAGUUAUGAAUAUUUCUUA